CUGAGACACGGUCCAGACUCCUACGGGAGGCAGCAGUGGGGAAUAUUGCACAAUGGGCGCAAGCCUGAUGCAGCCAUGCCGCGUGUAUGAAGAAGGCCUUCGGGUUGUAAAGUACUUUCAGCGGGGAGGAAGGGAGUAAAGUUAAUACCUUUGCUCAUUGACGUUACCCGCAGAAGAAGCACCGGCUAACUCCGUGCCAGCAGCCGCGGUAAUACGGAGGGUGCAAGCGUUAAUCGGAAUUACUGGGCGUAAAGCGCACGCAGGCGGUUUGUUAAGUCAGAUGUGAAAUCCCGCGGGCCUCAACCCUUGGGGAACUUGGGCAUACGGAAUACUUGGCUAAGCUAUGAGUAUCUGGUAGUAGGAGGGGGUUAGGAAUUGCCAGGUGUAUGCAGGUUGAAAUGCAGUAAGACGAUUCUGGAGGAAUACCGGUUGGCGAAGGCGGCCCCCCUGGAAGAAUGACUGACGCUCAGGUGAGAAAGCGUGGGGGAGCAAACAGGAAUUAGAUACACUGGUAGUCCACGACCGUAAACGAUGUCGACUUGGAGGUUGUGCCCUUGAGGCGUGGCUUCCGGAGCUAACGCGUUAAGUCGACCGCCUGGGGAGUACGGCCGCAAAGGUUAAAACUCAAAUGAAUUGACGGGGGCCCCGCACAAGCGGUUGGAGCAUGUGGUUUAAAUUUCGAUGCAACGAGAAGAACCUUACAUGGUCGUGACAUCCAACGGAAGUUUUUCAGAGAUGGAAGAAUUGUCCACAUUCGAGAACCGUGAGAACAGGUGCUUGCAAUUGGACCUGUCGUCAGCUAGGUGUUCGUGAAAUGUUGGGGUCUUAAAGUCCCGCAACGAGCGCAACCAUUAUCCUUUGUUGCCAGCGGUCCGGCCGGGAACUCAAAGGAGACUGCCAGUGAUAAACUGGAGGAAGGUGGGGAUGACGUCAAGUCAUCAUGGCCCUUACGACCAGGGCUACACACGUGCUACAAUGGUGCAUACAAAGAGAAGCGACCUCGCGAGAGCAAGCGGACCUCAUAAAGAGCGUCGUAGUCCGGAUUGGAGUCUGCAACUCGACUCCAUGAAGUCGGAAUCGCUAGUAAUCGUGGAUCAGAAUGCCACGGUGAAUACGUUCCCGGGCCUUGUACACACCGCCCGUCACACCAUGGGAGUGGGUUGCAAAAGAAGUAGGUAGCUUAACCUUCGGGAGGGCGCUUACCACUAUAUGAUUC
rnacentral:rRNA from 1 species